AGACAAGGGAUAGUGCCACCAC
rnacentral:siRNA from 1 species